GCUCAACGUCAAGUACAAGUAAAAAAAAAUCUUGGACCACGUCCGCCAUGGUGCCGAGAAGACAGUUGAGAUGUUGGUGAAAUUCAAGCUCUUUGUGAGUUGACUGAGAAGAUUGCUGAAGGAUCUUAAAUGGAAGCUGGCUGAUUAUAUUGAGUGAUUCCUUUGGUGUGGUGUACCUCAGAGAAAUAAACACUGUGGCAAGAGCUGAGAAGAUGACCAAGAUAUCCUUAUGGCUGGAUGGUAGCUCUCUGGUCGUGAGGUGAGCCCCCUUGAUGGACCAUGUCUGCAAAUGCUUUGACGGAAUUUCUAAAGGCCAUUGACACCAGAGCUGGAAUUAUCCUCCUGCCAAGACUAUUCCAGGAGAAGGCCGAGAACCUGAUUUUAUGGGAGAGGGCGAGCCAAACACCCCUUACCCAACUAUCAGCAUGAAGGCACAGGACUGGAGAGCUACGAUUGCCGGGAAUGCUGAAAGUAUCGUUGUAGUUGACAGGCUUCGAGUGUGUUCCCUGAUUGGUGUUGAAGAGGCAUUCAUCGCGACAUUCUGUAUGUACUUUGUUUACAACAUGGACCAACAGAACCUUUACACAAAUGGAUUAAGCACAUUGGACUUUUACAUGCCCAUGAACCUGAUUUCAGCAUCACAUGUGGACUGAAACUGUGAAUCGUCUUUUUCAAAGUACCAUUCCUUCAGCGUGUUUACAGGCAACACACAAGCAGCCUUUUCCUUUAUUUUCAGAAUUCAUGCUGCCCGUUCACUAAUGUCACCUUUUUCAUGAGUACUUACCACCAGCAUCAAAUUCUAAGUAUUCAUUAUAUCUGGAAAAA